AGAGUUUGAUCCUGGCUCAGAUUGAACGCUGGCGGCAUGCCUUACACAUGCAAGUCGAACGGCAGCACGGGAGCAAUCCUGGUGGCGAGUGGCGAACGGGUGAGUAAUAUAUCGGAACGUGCCCAGUCGUGGGGGAUAACGCAGCGAAAGCUGUGCUAAUACCGCAUACGAUCUAUGGAUGAAAGCGGGGGAUCGCAAGACCUCGCGCGAUUGGAGCGGCCGAUAUCAGAUUAGGUAGUUGGUGGGGUAAAGGCCUACCAAGCCGACGAUCUGUAGCUGGUCUGAGAGGACGACCAGCCACACUGGAACUGAGACACGGUCCAGACUCCUACGGGAGGCAGCAGUGGGGAAUUUUGGACAAUGGGCGCAAGCCUGAUCCAGCAAUGCCGCGUGCAGGAUGAAGGCCUUCGGGUUGUAAACUGCUUUUGUACGGAACGAAACGGUCCUUUCUAAUAUAAGGGGCUAAUGACGGUACCGUAAGAAUAAGCACCGGCUAACUACGUGCCAGCAGCCGCGGUAAUACGUAGGGUGCGAGCGUUAAUCGGAAUUACUGGGCGUAAAGCGUGCGCAGGCGGUUAUAUAAGACAGAUGUGAAAUCCCCGGGCUCAACCUGGGACCUGCAUUUGUGACUGUAUAGCUAGAGUACGGUAGAGGGGGAUGGAAUUCCGCGUGUAGCAGUGAAAUGCGUAGAUAUGCGGAGGAACACCGAUGGCGACGGCAAUCCCCUGGACCUGUACUGACGCUCAUGCACGAAAGCGUGGGGAGCAAACAGGAUUAGAUACCCUGGUAGUCCACGCCCUAAACGAUGUCAACUGGUUGUUGGGUCUUCACUGACUCAGUAACGAAGCUAACGCGUGAAGUUGACCGCCUGGGGAGUACGGCCGCAAGGUUGAACUCAAGGAAUUGACGGGGACCCGCACAAGCGGUGGA
rnacentral:rRNA from 1 species